rnacentral:lncRNA from 1 species
GUUGUCUGAAGGAUAAAAUUAUCAGCCAAUCUAGAAAAGGAGAGAUUGAAGCAAAGGCCACAUCAAAUGAUACACAACCCCAGCAAUGAUGUUCUUGAAAGCAGUCUCAGAAGAUUCAUAUGGCGCAUGACAACCCAAUCGAAUCAUCUGAUCCUCUGUUGGUCUUCGCAUGCGGAUGAAGCCUUAAGCCCCAUAAGGCUCGAUGCCCAUAAGAGAGUGAGAAGGUCCCCAAUGUUCUCACGACAUGGAGGCUUUGCCAUCGGAAAGCUUAACAUAGCUCGUUAUAGCCACGGAUGGCCCACUAUAGCCAUAUAGCCUAUUGUAGUCUAGAUGGUCCACUAUAGCCAUCAAUGUGACUUAUUGUAGCUACGGAUGGCCCACUAUAGCUGUCAACAUGACC